AGCACUGUAGGUGCCAGCAGCCGCGGUAAUACGUAGGGUGCAAGCGUUAAAUCGGUAAAUUACUGGGCGUAAAAGACGUGCGCAGGCGGUUAUAUAAGACAGAUGUGAAAUCCCCGGGCUCAACCUGGGAACUGCAUUUGUGACUGUAUAGCUAGAGUACGGUAGAGGGGGAUGGAAUUCCGCGUGUAGCAGUGAAAAUGCGUAGAUAUGCGGAGGAACACCGAUGGCGAAGGCAAUCCCCUGGACCUGUACUGACGCUCAUGCACGAAAGCGUGGGGAGCGAAACAGGGAUUAGAUACCCUGGUAGUCCACGCCCUAAAACGAGUGUCAACUGGUUUGUUGGGUCUUCACUGACUCAGUAACGAAG
rnacentral:rRNA from 1 species